rnacentral:tRNA from 1 species
GGGUCCGUAGCUCAGAUGGAUAGAGCGCCGGGCUUCGAACCCGUAGGUCGGGCGUUCGAGUCGCCCCGGACUCACCU